rnacentral:rRNA from 1 species
UGGCUCAGAACGAACGCUGGCGGCAUGCCUAACACAUGCAAGUCGAACGAGACCUUCGGGUCUAGUGGCGCACGGGUGCGUAACGCGUGGGAAUCUGCCCUUAGGUUCGGAAUAACUCAGAGAAAUUUGAGCUAAUACCGGAUGAUGACGUAAGUCCAAAGAUUUAUCGCCUAGGGAUGAGCCCGCGUAGGAUUAGGUAGUUGGUGGGGUAAAGGCUCACCAAGCCGACGAUCCUUAGCUGGUCUGAGAGGAUGAUCAGCCACACUGGGACUGAGACACGGCCCAGACUCCUACGGGAGGCAGCAGUGGGGAAUAUUGGACAAUGGGCGAAAGCCUGAUCCAGCAAUGCCGCGUGAGUGAUGAAGGCCUUAGGGUUGUAAAGCUCUUUUACCCGGGAUGAUAAUGACAGUACC